rnacentral:lncRNA from 1 species
UGAGUACGAGAAGUGUUGACCCUAGAAUGAAGUGGAAGGUAUUGAUAUAUUAUGUUAGGUAUAUUUGAUGAUAUUGGAAUGCUAAACCUAUAUGGAUAAAGGAUAUGAUAAUUUUACUGAUUUUGAUGUUAAUUUCUUUGCAAAGAAAAAGUUGGUUUGGAAGUUGUCUAAAUGAUUGUAAAGUAAAUCGAAGGUUAACUCAAAUUAAUUCUAGAC